rnacentral:rRNA from 1 species
GGACUUGCACAAGUAGUGGAUUAUGUGGUUUAAUUCGACGAUAAACGAAGAACCUUACCAAGGUUGGAAAUUCAUCUGAAAGCUCCGAGAAACCGGAGCCCUCGCAAGACAGGUGGACAGGUGAUGCAUGGCCGUCGUCAGUUCGUGGUUUGAAUUGUUCCCUUAAGUGGGGUAACGAACGCAACCCUCAUCGUGUGUUAUAAGUGUCACACGAGACUGCCCCAACCAAAGUGGAUAAUUAUUUAAUAAUUGUACAUUUCGGUUGGGGAGGAAGGAGAGGAUGACGCCAGGUCAGCAUGUCCCUUUGAUACCUUGGGCUACACACAUAAUACAAUCGCAUCUACAACGGGCAGCGACGGGGUAACCCUGAGCGAAUCCUAAGAAAAGAUGCGUCAGUUCGGAUUGGGGGCUGCAACUCGACCCCAUGAAGUUGGAAUUACUAGUAAUCGCGGGUCAGACAUACCGCGGUGAAUACGUUCUCAAGUCUU